UACAAAACAUUAAACAUGUUAACAACACAAAAGCCAUAUUAAAGGCAGACUACUUUAGGCCCGGAAGUAGGAUUCGUCACGUCAUCACUGAACAACCGGAUGGAGACUACAUUCAGUGUGACCAGGUCCAAGUGUAAGACCACUUCACUUGGACCUCUGUAACCUGGAUUACAUCAAAGACUCUGACCGGGGUGACUGGGUCACAUUUAAUUCAACCAAACCUCAUGGAAAUAUUGUCUGAUUUUAGGACUGAACCAUGAAAUAAUUCCCAGAAAAUUAAAAUUUUUGAAAAUGGACAGUUUAUUGAACCAUCUAUCCAUCCAUUACAUUUUAAUUUUUAUACAUGACUUUUAAUUUGUAUUGCAUUUGUUGCAUUUGGCUUUUUCUUUUUUUAAAAAAAAUUGCUUAAAAAUGGAUAGUGCCAUUUAUUUUUAGGGGGAAAAUCCCACUGAUGAUGUAGAAGUCUCAAAAACUCACAAAAAAAUGUAUGUUUCAAAUAUGAUACACUAUUUAACAGUUAUUAAAAUCAGAGGAGUCGAAGUGUUCGGCAGAACAAAUUCUCCACUUAGAAAAAUGGGAGCAGACUGGUCUGCUCCGAGGAGGUUUAGGAUUAUGCAGAAUCAGCGUCAUGUGAACGGGAUCCCAAACAUCCGGCUGGGAGGCUGCUAUCAGGUUCCUGGAAACCAAGAGGGAGGCAAUAAAAGGAGGAGGUGGACGAGGGAGCCCUGGGCAGGAAAACAAGCUCUUCCUCCUCCUCCUCCUCUUCUUCCUCCUCCUCUGAGUGGAGGGUUUUCAGCCUCUCAGAAUCCUCUCGUUUUAUUUUUAUCUGAGUUUAGUUUCCCAGAAUUUUCCCGCUGCAGCCGUUCUUGGAUUCCGUGAUUUUAAUUUUUUUUUCCAGGAAAGUCCCGCGUCGUGCUGACAAAGUAUCGAUGUGGAAUCCUGACCGUCUAAUCCUGUCAUCUCUGUCCUAAUCUGAACUUUAAAAUGUAAAGACUCACACCUUUAUUGUUAAAUGUAACUUUCUGUCUGUUGGCUCAAUCCUCAAAUCCAAAUCUUGGAUUUGUAGAGUUUACACUAAUUUCAUGACUUGGAUUCAUAAAUUCACAACUUUAUCACUUUUAAUCCAGAAAUUGUAAACUUCAGACACACAAUGUUGGAAUUUUAAAUGUGUGGGUUUUGUUUGUUUGUUUGUUUUUUUACUUUAAUCUGAAAAUGUGGAUUUUUAUUUAUAAAAUGAAUCCAAAUGAAUCGUACAGGACUUCCUGUAGGCUGAAGUCAUCCUGUGAGCUGGAAGUCUGAACACAGAGCAUUAGUCUUAACGACCCUCCUGACUUUGAUUAAAGCCUGAGAGGAAGAUUCUCCUCUUCUUCUCAGUAGCUUCAGUCUAGCCCGAAGCACAUCUUCAUCUCGGGACUGUGGAUGCCUUCAGUUUAAAGUUAAUGAAACAAAUAAUCUGCAGCUCCCAUCAGAUGCUGAGUAAAAAGCAACAGCAGUCAUUUAUUAAUACUAUAAUGCGAUCGACAGUUAUCCGCCUAACCCAACGUUUGUGGAUUUAAUGCUCCAUAAUUGUCAGAGCUGAUGGUAAACUGUGUUUUGGACAAAAUUAAGCCCUUUCAGUGAUUAAUGAAGUGAUCAGACGGACAGACGGAUGCCAGCACAUGUUCUAUUUUUGAUCUGUAGGCAUCUGAGGCGUCUAACUGCCCCUCAGACGGUCAGAAUUUGGUCAUCACUAGUUAUCUGGUGUGGGGUCGGUCUGAUCAGCGGCAGCAGAGGGGCCCUCUCACACCUGCAGAGCCGCUUCUUAAAGAAGCAGCAAACAAGUUUGGAUAUUAAAAGUCAUUCGGUGAGAGGAGAGCCACGCCCACCUCAGACAGUUUGUCAGUUGGUUACAAUGAAUUACAAAGAAUAUCAUCACCAUGGUAAUGUUAGCUCGUUACCUGACAGGUGGAAACAACUCACGGUCAAUAACAUGAUUGGACACUUUAAAUUCCCCCUUCCUCUCUGACUGGCAGAUACAUAAUCACAGAUUUUAAAACCCAACCAGCAACAUACAGAACAACAAACAAUUUCCUGUUUACUGACCAUGCCCGACACUCGCUGGCACUAACCAAAAGUUCUCAGUAUUUUAACGUGGGCGGGCGGUGGUGCCGGGGCUGUGCCAUUUGGUCUUCAUCCAUUGGACGGCGGCAUCAACAACAACAGAAAAAAUACUAUGAGCUGCUGGCAUCAUGUUUUCCUGUGAGGUCACAGUAACCGCACUUCACCGUUUGUUCAACCCCCGGAGAGUUCGAAUUGCUCAACCAGCUGAGGUUACAAACAAACGGCACCCUGCAGAGCACCAAUGGGCUCAGAGUUGCGCCAUCCAAACAGCCAUCCACUUCUGUUUGUCCUCAUGAGGGUGUUAAUCUGAAAACGUCACAAUCCUGAGAUUACAAACCAAACAUUUAGAGAUAACAUUUUAAAAUAAGAUGUUUACAAACCAAAACAA